UACGGAGGGGGCCAGCGUUGUUCGGAAUCAUUGGGCGUAAAGGGCGCGUAGGCGGCUUUGUAAGUCCGUUGUGAAAUCCCUCGGCUCAACCGAGGAACUGCGACGGAUACUGCUCGGCUUGAGUCCCGGAGAGGGUAGCGGAAUUCCCAGUGUAGCGGUGAAAUGCGUAGAUAUGUGGAGGAACACCGAUGGCGAAGGCAGCCCCCUGGGUUAACACUGACGCUCAUGCACGAAAGCGUGGGGAGCAAACAGG
rnacentral:rRNA from 1 species